rfam:Salmo salar isolate Sally breed double haploid chromosome ssa04, whole genome shotgun sequence.
UCCCAUGUGGCUCAGUUGGUAGAGCAUGGUGUUUGCAACACCAGGGUUGUGGGUUCGAUUCCCACGGGGGAC